GACGAACGCUGGCGGCGUGCUUAACACAUGCAAGUCGAACGGAAAGGCCCUGCUUUUGUGGGGUGCUCGAGUGGCGAACGGGUGAGUAACACGUGAGUAACCUGCCCUUGACUUUGGGAUAACUUCAGGAAACUGGGGCUAAUACCGGAUAGGAGCUCCUGCUGCAUGGUGGGGGUUGGAAAGUUUCGGCGGUUGGGGAUGGACUCGCGGCUUAUCAGCUUGUUGGUGGGGUAGUGGCUUACCAAGGCUUUGACGGGUAGCCGGCCUGAGAGGGUGACCGGCCACAUUGGGACUGAGAUACGGAGCAGACUCCUACGGGAGGCAGCAGGGGGGAAUAUUGAACAAUGGGCGGAAGCCUGAUGCAGCAACGCCGCGUGCGGGAUGACGGCCUUCGGGUUGUAAACCGCUUUCGCCUGUGACGAAGCGUGAGUGACGGUAAUGGGUAAAGAAGCACCGGCUAACUACGUG
rnacentral:rRNA from 1 species